GGUGCGAGCGUUGUUCGGAAUUAUUGGGCGUAAAGGGCGCGUAGGCGGUGCGGUAAGUCACCUGUGAAAUCUCCUGGCUCAACUGGGAGCUUGCAGGCGAAACUGCCGUGCUGGAGUGUGGGAGAGGUGCGUGGAAUUCCUGGUGUAGCGGUGAAAUGCGUAGAUAUCAGGAGGAACACCUGUGGCGAAAGCGGCGCACUGGACCACAACUGACGCUGAGGCGCGAAAGCUAGGGGAGCAAACAGG
rnacentral:rRNA from 1 species